rnacentral:misc_RNA from 1 species
UACGGAGGGUGCGAGCGUUGUCCGGAAUCACUGGGCGUAAAGGGCGCGUAGGCGGCGUCGUAAGCGUGGGGUGAAAGUCCGGGGCUCAACCCCGGAUCGGCCUUGCGAACUGCGGCGCUCGAGCACUGUAGAGGCGGGUGGAAUUCCGGGUGUAGCGGUGGAAUGCGUAGAGAUCCGGAAGAACACCGGUGGCGAAGGCGGCCCGCUGGGCAGUGGCUGACGCUGAGGCGCGACAGCGUGGGGAGCAAACAGG